UACAUUUUGGUGUAAGGUGCACAAAAAUUUUUGAUAUUUUAGGAUUACAGUUUAAUUCUGUUAAAUGUAAA
rnacentral:tRNA from 1 species